rnacentral:rRNA from 1 species
AGUGAACGCUGGCGGUAGGCCUAACACAUGCAAGUCGAACGGCAGCACAAGAAGAGCUUGCUCUUGCGGGUGGCGAGUGGCGGACGGGUGAGGAGUACAUCGGAAUCUACUUUUUCGGGGGGGAUAACGGAGGGAAACUUACGCUAAUACCGCAUACGACCUACGGGUGAAAGCAGGAGAUCUUCGGACCUUGCGCGAUUCAAUGAGCCGGUGUCGGAUUAGCUAGUUGGAGGGGUAAAGGCCCACCAAGGCGACGAUCCGUAGCUGGUCUGAGAGGAUGAUCAGCCACACUGGAACUGAGACACGGUCCAGACUCCUACGGGAGGCAGCAGUGGGGAAUAUUGGACAAUGGGCGAAAGCCUGAUCCAGCCAUGCCGCGUGGGUGAAGAAGGCCUUCGGGUUGUAAAGCUCUUUUGUUGGGAAAGAAAAGCAGCAGGUUAAUACCCCGCUGUUCUGACGGUACCCAAAGAAUAAGCACCGGCUAACUUCGUG